CUAUUUUUUACUCUAUUUCCUCAGACCUUCAUCAGUCCAAAAGUUCAACAAAAGAUGACUUUUUCUUUACUUCAACAUCCUUUAGAGGUGGACAGAGUGCCAGCUGGGGUGUUUUGUAGGUCAUUAUUGGUGCCUGGUGAAAAGUAAUCUAGUGCAAUAAUGCUCAUCAGUAAAAAGAAAUCGCUUGGUAAGUAUUGAAUUCUUCUGGUGAUUUAAAGCAAUUAAGAAAAUCUUUAUUAUUUUUUAUGGUGGUAUA
rnacentral:lncRNA from 1 species